CCCAAUAAGAUUUUCCUGAGUGUGUCUCUGCAGCAGUUGGUGGGAGUGACACGACUGGUGAGACUGAGACAGCCUGGGGCUCAGAGCAGAUGGUAGUCUGAAAGGGACAGAAUGAGAGAGGGAGCUGGAGAAAGAAAUGAAUAAACACGAAUGCAUCUGGAGAAUGAGGCAUCUUGGAAUCUGGAAAGUGAGGCAUCCUGGAAGAGAGAUGAAGCAGAUGCUACCUGAUUUGUGCUCCAGCUAAUGUCACUCACGUCAGGAGUGUUGCCAAAUGCAAUGAGGUGCGACUGACACCAGGGAAGAUGAUGAGCAAAGAGAAUGGCAGCUGGCUGUGUUUCCUUCUUAUAGCAUUUUAAUGAAUCAAGGAGCAUCCUGAUAGAGUACAUCUGGACAUGCUAGAAGCCAGACUCUAAGAUCCGAGAACCCUAAGGCGGCUCCAUCUUCAUGACAGGGAGGAUGGGUCCUGAAUAGAGGGAUGAGGCCUGAGAAAUAUAAAAGGCAGUUGCAGUGCUAUAGAAAGAACUAUACAUUAGUGGUUAGAAAACCUGAGUUCUCUCUCACUCUGUGUUACUCAUUAGUUUUUUGACUUAGGCAAAAUGUUUGUCUUACUCGAGACUCUUUUAACAAUAAAAACACACUAGAGUUACCAACAGGGUCCCAAAGGCAGUGGAUAGGGGAUCUAGAAAGCUACUACAAGGGGCCCAUUCCUCUUUCAUUAUUGCUUCCCUUUCUUCUCUCUCUCUGACAAUCAGCUUUUUUUCCUUUACCUCCCAGUCUGCCUGGUGGAAGACAAGAUAAUCCAAGUUUUCAUGGUAUAGGUCCAGCCACAAGGAAAGACUGAUUCCUGAUUCUCAUUUCCAUGUUUAAUUCCUAGCUGAAGGUAUGAUAGGCCUAGCUAAUUCCCCCUCACCAAAAAGUAUGAACAGAGUGUGUAUGAAUUUUAGACAUCAUGCCUGAGGCCCACUCCUUUGGCCCAAUAGAUGGUGGAUCAGUUCUCAUUUCAAGGGGACUGUUUGUCAGCUGAGAUGUUUCCAAAGGUAUUCAUUUGCUUGUGUAACUUUAUUUCCUCAAAAGUAAAAUCUGACCUCCCUUCCCUUGUGUGGUUAUAAGUCUUAAAGGAGACCAUGUACAAGAAAAAAAAUUGUGAAAUUCAAAGGGCUUUAUAUAUAUCAGGCACUAGCUGUAAACUGAAGUCACCCUGUGAA
rnacentral:lncRNA from 10 species